UCCGGCUUAUCACCGGCAGUCCCACUAGAGUGCCCAACUUAAUGCUGGCAACUAAUGGCAAGGGUUGCGCUCGUUGCGGGACUUAACCCAACAUCUCACGACACGAGCUGACGACAGCCAUGCAGCACCUGUGUCCAGGUCCCCUUUCGGGCACCCCUGCAUUUCUGCAGGGUUCCUGGCAUGUCAAGGGUAGGUAAGGUUUAUCGCGUUGCAUCGAAUUAAUCCACAUAAUCCACCGCUUGUGCGGGUCCCCGUCAAUUCCUUUGAGUUUUAACCUUGCGGCCGUACUCCCCAGGCGGUCAACUUCACGCGUUAGCUUCGUUACCAAGGAAUAACUUCCCCGACAACUAGUUGACAUCGUUUAGGGCGUGGACUAC
rnacentral:misc_RNA from 1 species